rnacentral:misc_RNA from 1 species
CCACUAUGCGAACCUUAGACUGUUGGCCUGCGGAUUUAUCCGUGCCGUGCCCUUCUGGCGAUCUUAACCGAGAGCCGUGGGGUUACGGGCCUUGGGGGCUCCUCCCUAACAAGAGGUUGCCUUCUGGGUCGGUCCUUUAUCAACCAACCAACACCAAACCAAAACAAUCUAAAGAAAAAUGGAGCAUUAGGCUUAGAGCCGAAGCUUCAAUAACCAAGACAACUCUCAACAACGGAUAUCUUGGCUCUCGCAACGAUGAAGAACGCAGCGAAAUGCGAUACGUAGUGUGAAUUGCAGAAAUACGUGAACCAUCGAAUCUUUGAACGCAAAUUGCGCUCGAGGCUUCGGCCAAGAGCAUGUCUGCCUCAGCGUCGCUUUAAACCCUCACACCAUACUCCCUUGUGGAGCAUGUUUGUGGAACUGGCUUUCCCAGCUUUCCUUAAACCGAAGGCUGGGUUUGCUGAAGAGCAGAGGUUGAUGCAUGGACCCGUUAUGGGCCUCAGCUGGGUAGGUAAUUUAUUACUAAUGCUUUAGCUGUUGGCUUGGAUCUGUGCUGUCGACCCUAACCAGGAAUUGAGAAAGCCUUACCGCUUUCUCAAACUCUUCUAAUUUCGA